rnacentral:rRNA from 1 species
CCUUUGCCGGCGACCGGCGCACGGGUGAGUAACACGUAUGCAACCUGCCCUCUUCAGGGGGACAACCUUCCGAAAGGGAGGCUAAUCCCGCGUAUAUCGGUUUCGGGCAUCCGAGAUCGAGGAAAGAUUCAUCGGAAGAGGAUGGGCAUGCGGCGCAUUAGCUAGACGGCGGGGUAACGGCCCACCGUGGCGACGAUGCGUAGGGGUUCUGAGAGGAAGGUCCCCCACACCGGUACUGAGACACGGACCAGACUCCUACGGGAGGCAGCAG